rnacentral:rRNA from 1 species
UGCCAGCAGCCGCGGUAAUACGAAGGGUGCAAGCGUUACUCGGAAUUACUGGGCGUAAAGCGUGCGUAGGUGGUUUCUUAAGUCUGCUGUGAAAGCCCCGGGCUCAACCUGGGAAUUGCAGUGGAUACUGGGGAGCUAGGGUGCGGUAGAGGGUAGUGGAAUUCCCGGUGUAGCGGUGAAAUGCGUAGAGAUCGGGAGGAACACCAGUGGCGAAGGCGGCUACCUGGACCAGCACUGACACUGAGGCACGAAAGCGUGGGGAGCAAACAGGAUUAGAUACCCUGGUAGUCCACGCCCUAAACGAUGCGAACUGGAUGUUGGGAGCAACUUGGUUCUCAGUGUCGAAGCUAACGCGUUAAGUUCGCCGCCUGGGGAGUACGGUCGCAAGACUGAAACUCAAAGGAAUUGACGGGGGCCCGCACAAG